rnacentral:rRNA from 1 species
CCUACGGGGGGCUGCAGUGAGGAAUAUUGGUCAAUGGACGAGAGUCUGAACCAGCCAAGUAGCGUGAAGGAUGACUGCCCUAUGGGUUGUAAACUUCUUUUAUAAAGGAAUAAAACGAGGCACGUGUGCCUUUUUGCAUGUACUUUAUGAAUAAGGAUCGGCUAACUCCGUGCCAGCAGCCGCGGUAAUACGGAGGAUCCGAGCGUUAUCCGGAUUUAUUUGGUUUAAAGGGAGCGUAGAUGGGUUGUUAAGUCAGUUGUGAAAGUUUGCGGCUCAACCGUAAAAUUGCAAUUGAUACUGGCAGUCUUGAGUACAGUUGAGGUAGGCGGAAUUCGUGGUGUAGCGGUGAAAUGCUUAGAUAUCACGAAGAACCCCGAUUGCGAAGGCAGCUUACUAAACUGUGACUGACAUUGAUGCUCGAAAGUGUGGGUAUCAAACAGGAUUAGAUACCCCUUGUAGUC